rnacentral:rRNA from 1 species
UACUCGAGUGGCGAACGGGUGAGUAACACGUGGGUGAUCUGCCCUGCACUUCGGGAUAAGCCUGGGAAACUGGGUCUAAUACCGGAUAGGACGAUGGUUUGGAUGCCAUUGUGGAAAGUUUUCGGUGUUGGAUGAGCUCGCGGCCUAUCAGCUUGUUGGUGGGGUAAUGGCCUACCAAGGCGUCGACGGGUAGCCGGCCUGAGAGGGUGUACGGCCACAUUGGGACUGAGAUACGGCCCAG